rnacentral:lncRNA from 1 species
AUUCAACAUGAUUUGCUUCUCUUGACUAGCUUCAGCAGAUGCAACUGCAUGCUGAAGACGAAGCUCAGAAUCCCUCAACUGCUUCUCUAGUAAAUUUGUCCUCUCAGAUUUAAUGCUACUACUGCUUUUUAGGAGGUUCAGCUCUUUCUCAAGUUCCACAUUAGCUUCUGAUUUAUCCUCUCUGCUUUAAUGCUGCUACUGCUUUUUAGGAGGUUCAGCUCUUUGUCAAGUUCCAGAUUAGCUUCUUUCAAUAAUUUGCACUCAGAUUCAAACUCCAGAUUUUUCUUUGCAGAUGAUGUAUAAUUGGACAGCUGAAACUCAGAAUCCUCCAAUCGUUGUUCAAGAA